rnacentral:lncRNA from 1 species
GACGCGCCUUCUCCCAGAGGGGACCACUAGCACACUGCCCACUUCUGAGAGAUGGAUUAGCAAGUAAAAGGGGCCAGGAGUGUGGCUUAGGGGUAGAGCUCUUGCCUGACUUUCGAGGAGGCCUGGGUUCAGUCUCCAGCACUGCAAACAGUAACAAUAAGCAGGCAGACAAAACUGUAGAAAGUUACCAUUGCAUUGGCUAAAGAUGACCCAGCUUAGACUGUUGUGGCUAAUUCUCAGUCCAGCCGUGGAUGAGGAAGAGUUUAGGUUAUAGUUUUCAAAGAACAAAAUAUAAAUUAUUUGUCUGACAAGGCAAAUAAUUGAUUUUUUUUGUUCAAAAUUACAUGGAGGUGAUCACUUAUAUUUGAAAAAUCUGUACAGAAUAUACCCAAUUCUCUCCAGCCUUGUGCUGAUGGGCCUUUCCACUGGUAAUGGUUCUUUCCUCCUUUGGUCAGUACUCACCCCAUUACUCCAGCAUCUCCCCACCACGUGACAAUGAGGAAAUGAACCCCACUUCUCUGCUGUUCUGGUUCUCUUUGUGUCUGCUGAGGAGGUCUCUAGGCUGUUUAUAACAUGGGAAAACACAUUUCUAACCCUGGUACUUAAGGUCAUACGAGAUACGUCUGCAACCUAAAUAGGAGAUAGAGGGGAGGGCGAUGUGUCUUUUUACAUGGUUUUUAGCCAAAUCCAGAUGUUCUGAUACUCCGUUUCUGAAUCCUUUUCUGACUGUAAAUACUGCCUGCAGAGGUUCAGGCUGACAACCUUUUCUGAGACUGUUUUCAGCCGAGCUCCUUGCCAGCUUUUGGCACAUUGUACAUAGAUACGUCAAGUGUUUCAAUGAUGUCGGUUUUUUUCUAAAUGCUGUUCUCUAACACAUUUUUUUUUUUUGAAAAAAAAAGUGUCUUUGUUGUUCUGGACUUUGUGUGUUAGUUUUACAAAACAUUUCCUAAGAUUUAACACCAGGAAAAAAUAUUUUAACAUAAACUGGUGCUAAUUGGAAAAGAAGAAAAUUUUCAGCUUCAAGAUUUACAAAAGAAAAUGUUCACACCAGUUAACUGCACUUUCCCAAGGGGAUGGCUGCUGUCCACUUACAAUGGGCAUCAAGAGGACCAGCAAAAGUUUACAGUAUUGAUGGCCCAUUGAUGUGUCCUACAGCAAGGAGUCCUUGUCCCCCCAGAGAGGAGGAUUUGCUGGGUAGUCCUCAAAGCAUGUAGUAGAAGGAAGGGUGUAGAGUCAACCCUUUAGAAAUAGUCUUCUGGUCUUUGGACUUUCAUGUUUUGUAAUGCUUAGCCGUAACAAUGAAUAUGGUGUUGCCAAUCUAGUCUGACUUCAUUGUCAUCCUGUACUGACUCUGUGUAUGGUUCUACCCUUGGCUUGCACUGGCACGAACCAAGCCAGAACACAAGUCUUUCAGAAAGACCAUUCUGAUUUCUAUGAUGUUCACACACAUGAAUUUAGAUGCACUUGUAACUGGUUAAUUACCAUGAAAUAAGUCUAACUUCCACUUAAUAAAAGGAUUUUUGUGUAUCUGCUU